GAUGAACGCUGGCGGCGUGCCUAAUACAUGCCAGUCGAGCGAACGGACGAGAAGCUUGCUUCUCUGAUGUUAGCGGCGGACGGGUGAGUAACACGUGGAUAACCUACCUAUAAGACUGGGAUAACUUCGGGAAACCGGAGCUAAUACCGGAUAAUAUUUUGAACCGCAUGGUUCAAAAGUGAAAGACGGUCUUGCUGUCACUUAUAGAUGGAUCCGCGCUGCAUUAGCUAGUUGGUAAGGUAACGGCUUACCAAGGCAACGAUGCAUAGCCGACCUGAGAGGGUGAUCGGCCACACUGGAACUGAGACACAGUCCAGACUCCUACGGGAGGCAGCAGUAGGGAAUCUUCCGCAAUGGGCGAAAGCCUGACGGAGCAACGCCGCGUGAGUGAUGAAGGUCUUCGGAUCGUAAAACUCUGUUAUUAGGGAAGAACAUAUGUGUAAGUAACUGUGCACAUCUUGACGGUACCUAAUCAGAAAGCCACGGCUAACUACGUG
rnacentral:rRNA from 1 species